rnacentral:lncRNA from 1 species
AGGAUAAAGCCAAAACCAUGUGCUCUCCUUGUAACUGUGCGCUUUGACCCUAAAUAUCUACAUAGUCAGUCGCUGGUGAGCUAGACUGAGUAGUGUGAAAAAUGCCUGGCAAGAGACAAAGCUGAGUGCUUUCUCCUCUGGACAUUUUCUAACACUUUAGCUCCCCGAGUCAAACCACUCACAUGCAGAGGAAAAUCCAGUCCAGGAAGAGCAAGCUGCUCCAUACAAGUGCCAAAGAGCUUUUCCAAAAACCUGGAGCAGAGCUGACCUAGGUCUUUUGGCCCAGACCUUCAUAGGGCACAACAACAAGAGAUUCUGACCUUGUCUAAUUUUGUGAAACCUGAUUGGAGAGGAGUGAGCAGUAAAACAGAGAAUGAGAAAGUCAAGAGUGACCCAAGCAGAUGGCUGGACCACUUCCCAGGAGCAGCAGCCUCUCUCAGACUCUUCUUGCCUCUUCACCCGCUUAUGGCUUCAGAGUUGAACUUCUUUGCUCCUUCAUAAAGUUUUACUCUCAAGCACUGUAACCCAAAUACUACCUUUGAACUUUACCUGCCUUCAAGGACGCCCUUUAAGUGGGGGCAUUUCAGCUUUCCCAGUAUUGUUAUUGUGAUUGUCAAUAUUAUGACUAUGGAUUUGGGCACUUAUCAGGAAAUAUAUUUGAAGUUCAGAAAGAAUCUAACUGGAGUUAUGCCAUUCAUCUCAGAGGCUAAAACAGCUUAUUUGAUGAAUUUUUAAAUAAAUAGCAGGCUCAGGAAAAUGUUGAUGCUCCACGGCCAGCAUCCCUGAUAAUUCUAAGAGGUUACACUACUAGACUCAAACUUCAAUGUUGUUAUCGAGCUGGCACCAGGUCAGGUUACAGUUAUAAUUUUUGAUAUAUAUUUUGCUUCUGUGGGGUAAAGACAAGCAUCCUUGUUUCCUAAGAAACAUCAUUAUUUUAAUGAUGAGUAAUAAGCAUGUCAAAUGUCCAAUGAAUUUGCACCUCACAGUCUUUGCUGUCAACAAAAAAUUUUGCAAGGCCGGAUAUGAAUUUUGCAGUAGCUUUGUGAAAGAAGGUGGGUGUCGCUUUUGUCAAACAAACCAA